CCUACGGGAGGCAGCAGUGGGGAAUAUUGCACAAUGGGGGAAACCCUGAUGCAGCGACGCCGCGUGAGUGAAGAAGUAAUUCGUUAUGUAAAGCUCUAUCAGCAGGGAAGAAAAUGACGGUACCUGAGCAAGAAGCCCCGGCUAACUACGUGCCAGCAGCCGCGGUAAUACGUAGGGGGCAAGCGUUAUCCGGAUUUACUGGGUGUAAAGGGAGCGUAGACGGCAGUGCAAGUCUGGAGUGAAAGGCGGGGGCUCAACCCCCGGACUGCUCUGGAAACUGUACGGCUGGAGUGCAGGAGAGGUAAGUGGAAUUCCUAGUGUAGCGGUGAAAUGCGUAGAUAUUAGGAGGAACACCAGUGGCGAAGGCGGCUUACUGGACUGUAACUGACGUUGAGGCUCGAAAGCGUGGGGAGCAAACAGGAUUAGAUACCCGGGUAGUC
rnacentral:rRNA from 1 species